UGUGCUGCCUACAUAUCAAUCAUUAUUGUAUGCAGGGGCAGACCCACGUGUAAGUCAGGGGUUCAUACCCCCUGAAAAAACAAAAAAUUCUACUUACCCCCUUGUAUUGUUAUUUUUUUGAACCCCCUGAAAAUUUCCAUUUGCACCCAGACCCUCACUUUCUCCUCUCUCUCUCUCACACACUCACAGUCAGACUCACGCUCUCACCCUCUCAGGAACGCUCACCACGCCCUCACCCUCUCACUCUCACUAGGUCUGGCCAUCAUCAAGAUUGAAGCACACACGCACGACACGACGCACCGCCACCGGCCAUCACCACGCAACGCCACUACCGUCCACCAAUCCAGCCGCCCCUCUGCAGCUCUAACCCUAGGAAGGUCAUGGAAAAAUUUGAACCCCCUGACCCCGGGGUCCUGGAUACGCCACUGAUUGUAUGUGGAUAUUUGUCACAUCAAAACCAACUUAUGCUAGGAAGAAUUCUCCCACGGAUUGUUUCUCAUCUUUGUAGUCUCUUGCUGUGCUGUGAUACGGGCCUCUUGUUGUUGCUGUCAUUGGUGUACGUUGCUGCAGGGGGAGGGGUUGAUUUGUUAAAUUCUUUGGCAAGUUGCUGGCGGUGGGGGUGGUAUUCCAUUUGCUCCAGGAUUGGUUUAGGCUAUCUUUUUUUUCGGCUUGGGGGAUUUUCUUUGUUGCUGUUACCUGGGCUUGGUUCUUUUUUUUUCUGGUUUCUUGCUCUUGCUCUUGUUCUCUUAUUUUUCUUUUUGGUGCUUGUUUUGGUACUUUAAAUUAGGUUAAGGUGUGGUAUCUAAAAUGAUAUCAAUAGAAAAAAUAUAAUUUAAACUUAGAGGAAGAUGAUGAAUGAAGAUUUGCAAGGUUCAGCAUGAGUGGAGCAUGGAGGAAGAAGAUCGUGACAAGAAAGGAACUUAGAUGAAUCUUUAAGAGUUUCAAGUUAAAUUUAAAACCCUAUUUUUUUAA